CAGUAGCCGCGGUAAUACGAAGGGUGCAAGCGUUACUCGGAAUUACUGGGCGUAAAGCGUGUGUAGGUGGUUGUUUAAGUCUGUCGUGAAAGCCCUGGGCUCAACCUGGGAAUUGCGAUGGAUACUGGGCGACUAGAGUGCGGUAGAGGAUAGUGGAAUUUCCGGUGUAGCAGUGAAAUGCGUAGAGAUCGGAAGGAACAUCUGUGGCGAAGGCGACUAUCUGGGCCAACACUGACACUGAGACACGAAAGCGUGGGGAGCAAACAGGAUUAGAUACCCCAGUAGUCCCUGUCUCUUAUAC
rnacentral:rRNA from 1 species